UAAAACAAAAAUAAUAAUUAUAAUAAACGAGUAAUAAACCCAGUCAGCUGAUUUUUAUGUGGGGAUGUGGAGAAUAAUCUUUGUGUGUAUCUUCCCUAUUUCUUAAGAAGAAAAUAGUCAGAGAUGACUAAUAAAUUAAGUCGCAUAAAUAGAUAAUGGAGUUACAGCAAUUAUAUCUAUAUUCACAUUUAUUUUACAGUUUUUUCAUCAUUUUAGCCAAAGCUUCAAUUCACGAAAAUUUGAAAUAUUUUCAAACUAUCCAUGCUGAUGAUGUUACUCACAAAAUAGUCAAACGAGGAUUAAAGGAGAGUAGCCACCCAUUUAAUCACAUUAAAGAAGUGAAUUUGAAUACGCAUGGCAGAGAUUUCAGGCUUAUCAUCUCUCCCAAGAAAGACAUACUCCAUUCAAAUUUCAAAGCUUAUUCUGUAGACGAGAACGGCAAGGAAACUACGGUGCACAUAGAUCAUGACGAUUUUUAUAAUGGUAGAGUAUUUGGUGAAACCGAUUCCCACGUCAGCUUGCACAUGGAAGAUGGGGUUAUGACUGGUAGUAUCCACUUAUCAGAUGAAACUUACCACAUUGAGCCAUCCUGGAGGCAUUUACCAAAUCACGAUAAUAGAACAAUGAUCACUUACAAACAGUCAGAUGUAAAAUUCAGCUGGGACAGUCCAAAGGAAUCGUCUGGGCAACCGAGAUCCAAAAUCUGUGACUAUGUAAAAGAGGGGAGAGAGUUAGAACUUGAUGACGAUGAUGAAGCAAUCGAAGAAGAUGAAAGUAUUAAAUGGAAGACUGGGCAUCACAGGGAGAAAAGGCAAAUAGACCCGUAUGAAUCCACCCCCACUAAAACUAGGUGUCCUUUACUGUUAGUUGCAGACUACAGAUUUUUUCAGGAAAUGGGAGGCAGUAACACUAAAACAACGAUAAAUUACUUGAUAAGUCUUAUUGACCGUGUUCACAAAAUAUACAAUGACACCAGCUGGCAGGAUAGACAAGAAGUUGAUGGCUUCAAGGGCAUGGGAUUCGUGAUUAAAAAAAUUGUUGUCCACAGUGAUCCUACCAGAAUCAAAUCUGGCGAAGCUCACUAUAACAUGAUUAGAGAAAAAUGGGAUGUUAGGAAUCUCCUGGAGUUUUUCAGGCAUUUUCCAGAUCGACGGAUCAUGGCAAUUUUUGUUUGGCACACUUGUUCACCCACCAGACUUUUAAAAAUCUCAAUUCCGUAGUGUUAGGCUUGGCCUAUAUUGCAUCACCUCGACUGAAUACCAGAGGAGGAAUUUGCAGCAAGGAAUAUUUCAAAAACGGAUACACCCUGUAUCUGAACUCUGGCCUAAGCUCGAGUCGCAACCAUUACGGCCAAAGAGUCAUCACAAGAGAGGCAGAUUUGGUAACUGCUCACGAGUUUGGCCACAAUUGGGGCUCUGAGCAUGAUCCAGAUAUUCCAGAAUGUUCGCCGAGCGCAAGUCAAGGUGGCUCGUACCUCAUGUAUACUUAUAGUGUCAGCGGUUAUGACGUU
rnacentral:misc_RNA from 1 species